CAUAUCACCUAGAAACACCGGUUCCCGUAAGAUCACCGAAGUUAAGCAACAUCGAGCCUAGUCAUAUCUAGAUAGGUGACCGCUUGGGAAUAACAGGUGUUGUAA